rnacentral:rRNA from 1 species
CAGUCGCCACGGGAACACGGAGGGUGCAAGCGUUAAUCGGAAUUACUGGGCGUAAAGCGCACGCAGGCGGUCUGACAAGUCAGAUGUGAAAUCCCCGGGCUUAACCUGGGAACUGCAUUUGAAACUGUCAGGCUGGAGUCUUGUAGAGGGGGGUAGAAUUCCAGGUGUAGCGGUGAAAUGCGUAGAGAUCUGGAGGAAUACCGGUGGCGAAGGCGGCCCCCUGGACAAAGACUGACGCUCAGGUGCGAAAGCGUGGGGAGCAAACAGGAUUAGAUACCCCGGUAGUCCCUGUCUCUUAUAC